AUCGAUCUAUGCAAUUGGGAUAUGAUGACAUAUGUCAGCGAGCCUGACCACCCAAUCCCUUCAGUGGCCUCUUAUGACAAACGUGGGUUGCUGUAGACAGGUCUAAGCCAGAUCUUCAUAGGUUCAAAU